rnacentral:rRNA from 1 species
GACGAACGCUGGCGGCGUGCUUAACACAUGCAAGUCGAACGGAAAGGCCCUGCUUUUGUGGGGUGCUCGAGUGGCGAACGGGUGAGUAACACGUGAGUAACCUGCCCUUGACUUUGGGAUAACUUCAGGAAACUGGGGCUAAUACCGGAUAGGAGCUCCUGCUGCACGGUGGGGGUUGGAAAGUUUCGGCGGUUGGGGAUGGACUCGCGGCUUAUCAGCUUGUUGGUGGGGUAGUGGCUUACCAAGGCUUUGACGGGUAGCCGGCCUGAGAGGGUGACCGGCCCAAUGGGACUGCGGGAAGGGCCAGUGCCCACACGGGGGGAAGAGGGGGGAAAAUUGCACAAAGGGGCGGAGGGCGGAUGCAGCAACGCCGGGUGGGGGAGAACGGCCUUCGGGUUGGAAACCCAUUUCGCUUGUGACGAAGGGUGGGGGCGGUAAAUGGGUAAAAAAGCACCGCCUAAUUAGGU